ensembl:lncRNA
CUCCAGACACAUCUCUUGUAUUUGGAAAUAUCGGGCAAACUCUUUAAGAUAGAAAUUUAGAGUAUAAAAUGUCCCAUCACCAUUACUGUUUAGAAUGUACUAUUAAUCUGCUAUAAGAAGGCAAUACUACUUGCAUCCUAAUCUGUUACCUAUCUAUAUUGAGAUUAUAUGGGAUUUUUUUUUUCCUGGAAAAAUGUACAAUACUAGAGCACAAAAACAGAUAUUAGUCUUAAUGAGAUAUUAUCCGGUGUGAAUUAAAUACAAGACUUUUAACUACUUUUACGUUGGUGCAAAGCUAUACUUGUAUCUGAAAACUAUAACAUUUUUCUUAAUUUAGUAAAAAAAAACUAAACAAAAAAAAACAUACACUUUAUAGCCAAACUCAAGAGAUAAACAGGUGAAGACAGAUCUCUUUCUCAGACAUUACCAAUAUAAAUAUUUCACAUUAGUGUGUGUGUCUCUCGCUCUCUCUCUCUCUCUCUCUGUGUGUGUGUAUGUGUGUUUGUUUGUCAGAGUAGCACAUACCUUACAUAUCAGCUUCACUAAACUGACAACUGAACAAAAUGUGCAAGUCCCUAGACAGUGGUCAAAUACAUACAUUCAAAGCAUUCUGCAACCUAACUCUGACCUAAGGAUUUUGUAACACAUACUCACAUACCCAUGUAUCACAUACUCUUACUCUUAUUUAUUACAUUUGUAUGCACACUCAGUUGCAUUGCUUAUCUAUUUGAACUGGACAUUUCACAAGCAUAUGGAAAUUACUUCUGGUUCAGAGCCAGCGGCUUCAUGCCCCCAUCAACAUUGUUUAGAGCAAAACAUUCAAAUGCCACUGCUCGAGUGGGUCAAAACUAUGUCUACAUCAACACUGAAUGUUCUGCCAUACACCAAGUGGCUACAAAAUCAGACAGACUAUGAAGAAAUGCUUCCACGAACUACACACCUUCCACCCCACAAACAUAUGGCACUCUCUAACCACUUCACAAAAAUUGGUCAACAUGCUUACCUCACUCCUUAAAAGUAAAUUAGCUAGUUUUAUUUAAAAUUCAGUUUUCACCAGUUACCACCAGUCAGAAACUUUGAGAAACAACACCAAGAAUAAAGAGUUUGAUUCUAAACCGGUAUUCCUAUUCUAACUGAAGUACUUUUCCCAUACCCUGAUGUUCCUUGGUGGUUCAAUAGAGAAAAGACGAACAGGCGAUGAGCUACUGUUUGGCGUGCCUUCUCUGCCCAUACACCUGUCGCCCACAUAUAUCUAUGUUAUGUGUUAAUGCUACUCUUUCCGGACUAUAGUGGAUUUUAUAUGUAAUCCAGGAAGAACCGGGAUAUUCGCAUGACAAUUUCCUGGCCAACAGAACACACAAGAACACGCCGAGAGACAGAUGAAGAAAAGGAACAAACCGGAGCAUUUACCCACAAAACCCUGGUCACCUUCAGAGUAUUUCUAAAUUAAAAUACUUCCAUUGUGAGAUAGGACUGAGAGUUAAGUCAUAUCCGUAACACAAAGGGAAAGACGGGCUUUAUGGACUGUUCUAUUGAUGUCUUUGUAUGAAAACCAUCGCAAAAGUUUGGAUGUCUCCAACUUCUCAUUUCGAGAGAAAGAAAUUAUGUCCUUUGAUGACACCAUACUUCAAAGCGGACUCAUUUCAAAAGAAUACCAAAAACGUAUGAGUAACAGGAAGACCACAGUAGUAAAAAGCAUUGGCAAUUGGAAAGACCAUUACCAAAUGAAGCGCUGCGCCGCAUAUAACUCGCAGCCAAUACAACAAUGAUAAAUGUUAAACAUAAUAUCCAGGAAAAGGCUGAACAACUGAGUACCACCAUUCAAAUGCCAAACAAAUCCGUUAUCCUCUGUCACAGGCCUUUAACCUAACAUUCCACAUAGGCUACGCUAUUUAUCAAAGAACGCCGUGCAAUAAGCUUAAUGGUGAAACUAAUAGAAAAGUGAUUUAAGUGAUGAAGUUAUUUAAUCAAGAUCAAAUACAGUCAUGACAAUCCGGAACAAAUGAUGCUUCACUUAGCGUCUCCUAAUGCGCACUAGAAUCAAAGAAACAGCAGUCGACUUACUUCACAAAGUGUCUUUUAAAAGUGCACCAUCACGUUUUUCAAAUCUUGUAAAAAUGUCCUAAGGGUGUCAUUGAAAAUCCUGCUCACAGUGAUUUAAAAUGUGUACUUUCCGUCACCAAUACUACGUGUUUCUGAAAUAAAACUAUUAAAAUCUUCAAAUGCAUCUACCAGCAAAAGACGUAACCGAUUGAAUGCAAAGAGAAUGAACGGGAGCGAUAGGAGGACAAGGUUACUUACUCUGCAGGCGAGAGGAAAUUGAGCUUCUUUGCAAUAGUGAAAGAGAGAAUACAGAGGGUUGUUCGCCUGGUGAUGAAUAUUGUAAUUUCUCAGGACAAGCACGAGCGACGAGAGUGAGUGAGUGAGCGAGAGAGCUCUUUUGCGCCGCUCUCCUUUCCAGAUGGAAACUGUGUUUCUCUGCGAUGCAGACAGGACGGGGCUAGAGCGCUCUCGCACUAACAAGAUUCACUUUAAGACGCAGCUGAAGGAAGCAGGAAGACGGCGCGUCAUAAUCAUUGUGAUGUAACAUUUCCACCUACCAAUAAGAACAGUCCGCUGGAUUUAGAGGAAUACAAAACGCCUAACUUCACCGACGUGGAGAAAGACUCGCCGGUCAAAAAAGACUGCUUUCACCAUCCACUUUAAACAACAAACGAAUUUGCGGAACCUCACGUAAGGAAGCGCCUGAGGCAGAGGAGGCCCUUACUGAAGGACUACAGACAGUCAUUUGAAACAGCAGAAAACAAAGCUGCCUCAUUUUUCUUUGGUAAUUGCUGAUCGGAACAAAAGCUUUGCGUGUCUUCAAACUGUUUGCAAAGGAAAUAAUGACGGCGG